UCUGUGUUGAAAGUGCAGAAAGAGAAUUUUAGGGAGUCUGACAGCUGUCCUUGAACACUGAAAUAACAAUGAGGAAGCAUCUUUAGACUGGAAGAUAAAAAAGGCUGAAAAACCAAGAAGGGACCUCCUAUAAGGGUGUCUGAGUAGAGGUAACCGGAAGGAGAUGCAGUGAGGGUACAGACAUCAAGUUCUGGAUGGUUCCAAGACCUCAUGACUCUCUCUCAACUCUCGAAUUCCAUUUCUUCCUGAAAAGCCCAGGUCAGACAUCUAAAGCUAUGGAAAACUAUCCCAUUAAAAUAAGAGACUCAAACUGGUCAUAAUUCCGUGGAUGUCUGUUCAUGCCUAGAAACCUGGGUUUUAUGGAGAGGUGGUAUCUCAUAGGGGUUGACGACACUGAUUGAGGCCACCGCCCAGGUUGUAAUGCCAGCACCAUUUCAUACUAGUUCUGGGAUCUUGGAUUCUUCUCUGGAACAGGGGCAGAGGUGGUCCCAAUGCUAAGAAUAACCGCUUCUGGGUUAAAGGUCAAUGAACAGGAGCAGAAUCAAAGAGAUUAAACACCUUCUCUCCCCAGAACAAGUA